rnacentral:piRNA from 1 species
UUGUGAAUGGAUGGCACUGAGGAU